UGUAACCGGCCCCCGCCCCGUGGGACCGGCCCGGCCAGGGCAGCCGGGCUGGCGCCCCGGGCCGCGGACCCGCGCUGGAGGGGCCCGGCUACCUGAGCCCGGCCUUUCCCGGACCCGCCUCGCCGAACCCCCGCGCCUGCCUAAUCCCUCGUCUCCGCGAGUUUGGGUGAGAAGUAGGGUUGCUCUGCCCAGGGAUGGAUUGUAGAGGAAGAAACCCGUGAGCCGGCGGACCCCGCCCGGACCUCCCGGAGACGCCCAGUUAAUGUCUGAAGAUGACUUAAGGACUACAGUGGAAUCACAAGGGGGAAAAUUCACACCUUAAAUACCAGCGUUGAAUUUUUCCAGGGGUAGGCAAAUGCUCCAAGUGGAGUUUCUGCCCUUAUUUCUUUCUUAUUACUUAUUAAUUCUUCCCUAUGUUAACAGAACAUUGACCUGCCCAAAGGACAAAUGAUGGCAGUUUACUUUUUGUUAGUUCUCCAACCUUCCAACCCCAUGGGGCAAAUUCAAGCACUGUGGAAAAACUCCAUUGAACCAAGAAUCAUCUUCCUCUGGGUGGCAGACUGGUUGGGAAGUUGGACCCACAUAUUUCCAAAGAGAACAGUGUUCUGAAGGACAAGGCGAGAGGGUAGGAAAAGGGGAAAGGUGGAGGACUACAAUGGAAUCCAGCCUCCAAUGCAUGAUAGGGACAGAGCAGGAGAAGCAAAGAGCUGAUGGUGUGCCUUCAAAAGAAAAGCAAAUGAAGCAAGUUCUUUCAUUGUAGCCAAUGAUCAAGAAGGUAACUCCUUAAAAUGACAUUGGAAUGUCUUCAAUUGAGAGAGAAGAGUUUAAGAGAAAAGCACUGGACAUAGAGUCAGAGCUGACGUCCAGCCCAGCUCUUCCACAGACAAGCUGCGUGGGACUGUUACCUAAUUAACCUUUUCAAGCUUUGCCAACCUCAUCUGUGAAGAAGGGGUCUGGACUAGAGGAUUUCCAGAGUACUUUGCAGAGGAAACCAGGAAUAAGGAGGCCUUCCUCUCCCCAUCUUGAUGGGCUCAGUGAGGACUGCCAGAGGGCCAGACAGCAUUUGCUCCUCAUCUGGAUUUGCGUGCGGAAAGCUGUGACCCAGCAACCUAAGCACAGAGAAGUUAGCACCGCGAAGGCGCAGGGCCGAACCCUCGGUGGCUUGGAACGCCUGAUGUUCCCUGCUGCCGCCACCUCGUUAGCCCUGCCUGCCAAUCAGUUUUGCAUCAAUAAACUUUAUGUUCCUAGCUUGGCCAGAUGAAUGAGAGGAGAGCAGCUAAAGACUGAUCUCUGACCUUGGCACGUAAACAGCCUACAGAUUGGACUUGACAGUUAAUAAAGGAAAGGCCCAGCAAUUCUCUGAUGCCUUUUUGCCUUAAUUAGAUUGAGCAUUCAAAGGCUAUGGGGAAAUCUUCCAUUUGAAGAGAAAGACCCCACAAGACAGGAAGUCACUUCCCCACUCCUUACUUCAUUCAGACUGUCAAUCACUCAGUCAACAGUUGCUGACAGUCGUCAAGUGCCCUAUUACCUGUGCUCAGCACUGUGUUAACCGCUUUCGAGUAAAGCAGCUGCAUGAAUUCCGGAAGUCCACACCUGCUCUGUUGGAAGACUGUGUCCAGCCAGGCGGUCAGGAGCACAUGCUUCAGUUUAAACAAAUCUGAGCUUGAAUCCUGAUUCUGCUGUGUGACUUUUGGCAAGUUAUUUAACCUCUCUGCCCUCAGCUUCCUCUUGAGGUUAAUAAUACCAACCUCCACGGGUUGUCAUCAAGACUAAGUGAGACCAUCUGUGUAAAGCAGCCAGCACAGAGCCUGGCGCUUGGCAGGCAUGCCACAGCUGUGCACUUGGCUAGCUGGGCGGACUCUUCCGAGCUGAGCAGCAGCCUCCCUUCCCCCUUCCUUGGCACUGGGCCAGUCACUAGGAGCCCAUGGUGACGCAUACACAAUCCCUGUCCUCAACGAUAUUAGAAACCUAUUGUUGCCAAGGCUUAGUUUCUUCAUCUAUGAAAUGGGGAAGCGGUGAUAAUGCCCUUGAGAGAUCUGGAAAGCGCUUUAAUACCGAGGCCUGCAAAUGAGCUUUGCCUACAGGAAGGACCAUGGGAAUAUUAGAUUACAGUGGCAGCCCAUGGCUUGUCAUCAGAUGCCACUGCAGCCCUGGGGGCUGUCUUUAAUAGCAGAUAUUUUUAAGUUCCUGAACCCACUUCAUGCUAUAUUUGCUCUCGCAUGGAGGUUUAUUCAGUGUUAAUCACAUUAAUGUGCUGUUUCAUUUCACACUGUGUGAUGUGAACUUCAGCGAGAGCCAGAAGAGCAGAAUUUACUCUCAAAGGGACCUCGUACUGUGCUUACCCAAAGGGCACCUUGUCAAGGCACCUCAGAGCCCAGUUGUCUGGGCCACCCCCUUGCUCCUCCAGGGGUGCCCUGAAGCCUUAAGAAGUCUGCCUUUUAAGUGUCUCUGUAUUUAUUGGUUUUUAACCCUCAAUGAGAAACCCAGGCAAGUGUCUAGUUUUUCUUAGCCAUCCUUAAUGCUUAAACAGCCCAGACCUGUGCUACUCAGUAUAUGCUCCCCAGCACUGCUCGGAGGGGCCGAGUGUGUAGUUUGGAGGGUCUUUGAGAUCUCCCAGUUCAAUUUCCUCAUGGUACAGAUGGAGAAACUGAGUCCCAGAGGUGUGGAAGGACUUAAAUCUCUCUUUUUGGCUCCUUCCCUAAACUGAAGAACUGCCUUCAUUCAGAUCUUGAACACAUAACACAUUCCACCGGUUUUUCUUUGGCCCAGUGCCCCAACCGGCCCUUCUCUGCUUGAACCUCCCACUGCCCUCCUGGCCCUUAGCCAAAAGCCUCAGAUCCUACUCACUGAAGAAAGUGGAAUCAUCAGACAGGAAGGCCCCCCCCAGGUCAUCCUCUGCAGCAUGGCUGCCCCUCUGGACAAAGGCCACCCUCUGGGCACCUGCUCCUCCAGGCUUUUGCCCUGAACCCCAACCCCUUGCUGACAUCAUCGCCUUUUCCCCUUCCACAGGAACAUUCCCAUCAGCAAACAUAUGCUUUCAUUUUUAAAAAUGUAUAAAUUGUAUAAAACCCUUCUUUAGCCCCUGCUUUGUUCACUCUUCCUUUUUCUAAUUUAUAUCAUUUCCCAGCUUUUUUUUUUUUGGGAAAAAAAUAAGCCAUCAAAAAGGCUGAAAAAUAUAUUAAAAUACCCGCCACCUAGAUUUUUCCAGUUAGUAUUUUACCACAUUUGCUCUCGCUCUCUCUCUCUCUGUUCGUAGAUGUUGAGUUUGUUAUUGUGAACCACUGGAAAGUUUCAGGCAUCCUAAAUACUACACUAAAUACCACAAGUUUGUCUCCUACCUCUGAUUCUCUUACUACAGAUCAUUAUCACACACAAGCAAUUGAGCACUGAUAUGACUAAUAUUUUCUAAUAUAAAGUUCUUUUUCAAAUUUUCCCAU